rnacentral:rRNA from 1 species
GGCUCAGGAUGAACGCUAGCUACAGGCUUAACACAUGCAAGUCGAGGGGCAGCAUUGGGAUAGCUUGCUAUCCAGAUGGCGACCGGCGCACGGGUGAGUAACGCGUAUCCAACCUUCCCUAUAGUAGAGAAUAGCCCGGCGAAAGUCGGAUUAAUGCUCUAUGUUGUGUUUUGAGGACAUCUGACGAACACCAAAGGUUCACCGCUAUAGGAUGGGGAUGCGUCUGAUUAGCUUGUUGGCGGGGUAGCGGCCCACCAAGGCGACGAUCAGUAGGGGUUCUGAGAGGAAGGUCCCCCACAUUGGUACUGAGACACGGACCAAACUCCUACGGGAGGCAGCAGUGAGGAAUAUUGGUCAAUGGGCGAGAGCCUGAACCAGCCAAGUAGCGUGCAGGAAUGACUGCCCUAUGGGUUGUAAACUGCUUUUAUCAGGGAAUAAAGUGCGGCACGUGUGCCGUUUUGUAUGUACCUGAUGAAUAAGGACCGGCUAAUUCCGUGCCAGCCGCCGC